GAGUUUGAUCAUGGCUCAGGAUGAACGCUAGCGAUAGGCUUAACACAUGCAAGUCGAGGGGCAGCAUAAUUUUAGCUUGCUAAGAUUGAUGGCGACCGGCGCACGGGUGCGUAACGCGUAUGCAACCUGCCUGUAAUUAGGGGAUAGCUCGGUGAAAGUCGAAUUAAUACCCUAUAUUCUGUAUUUUUCGCAUGAUUGAUAUAGGAAAGAUUUAUUGAUUACAGAUGGGCAUGCGUUCCAUUAGCUUGUUGGUAAGGUAACGGCUUACCAAGGCAACGAUGGAUAGGGGGACUGAGAGGUUGACCCCCCACACUGGUACUGAGACACGGACCAGACUCCUACGGGAGGCAGCAGUGAGGAAUAUUGGUCAAUGGGCGCAAGCCUGAACCAGCCAAGUCGCGUGAAGGACGACGGUCCUAUGGAUUGUAAACUUCUUUUGUAGAGGAAUAAUGAUGGUCACGAGUGGCUGAAGGGAAUUACUCUACGAAUAAGAUCGCA
rnacentral:rRNA from 1 species